GCGAGCGGCGGAUGGGUGAGUAACACGUGGGGAACCUGCCCCUAAGUCUGGGAUACCAUUUGGAAACAGGUGCUAAUACCGGAUAAUAAAGCAGAUCGCAUGAUCAGCUUUUGAAAGGCGGCGUAAGCUGUCGCUAAGGGAUGGCCCCGCGGUGCAUUAGCUAGUUGGUAAGGUAACGGCUUACCAAGGCGACGAUGCAUAGCCGAGUUGAGAGACUGAUCGGCCACAUUGGGACUGAGACACGGCCCAAACUCCUACGGGAGGCAGCAGUAGGGAAUCUUCCACAAUGGACGCAAGUCUGAUGGAGCAACGCCGCGUGAGUGAAGAAGGUUUUCGGAUCGUAAAGCUCUGUUGUUGGUGAAGAAGGAUAGAGGUAGUAACUGGCCUUUAUUUGACGGUAAUCAACCAGAAAGUCACGGCUAACUACGUGCCAGCAGCCGCGGUAAUACGUAGGUGGCAAGCGUUGUCCGGAUUUAUUGGGCGUAAAGCGAGCGCAGGCGGAAAAAUAAGUCUAAUGUGAAAGCCCUCGGCUUAACCGAGGAACUGCAUCGGAAACUGUUUUUCUUGAGUGCAGAAGAGGAGAGUGGAACUCCAUGUGUAGCGGUGGAAUGCGUAGAUAUAUGGAAGAACACCAGUGGCGAAGGCGGCUCUCUGGUCUGCAACUGACGCUGAGGCUCGAAAGCAUGGGGUGGCGAACAGGAUUAGAUACCCUGGUAGUCCAUGCCGUAAACGAUGAGUGCUAAGUGUUGGGAGGUUUCCGCCUCUCAGUGCUGCA
rnacentral:rRNA from 1 species